AAAGGCGCCAACGGAGACCUGCGCCGUGGCAUCCUCUCCUCUGUAGCUUGAUCCUUAAGCUUGGAAUCCUGAGUAGCAUGUGGACGUGGUGACGACUGACGACGACGGGAUUGCCUGGUUCGAUCGGCUUCCCUCGUGCUCGUGCCUCUGCCUCUGCCUGGCCGCGGUCCGUUUGCUUCGCCGCGCGCGCGGGACCACAGCAACCAGUCCACCGCUGUCCCGAAAGGAAAGCGACGCGAAUAGCAUCUGAUCGAUCGGGGGGUGCACCGCCCAAGAUCUCUGCUGUCGCGUCCGGCUCUCGGCGUCCGCUUCUUCCUCUUUCUCCUUUCCCCGUCGCUGGGUAUAUCUAUCAGUUGCGCUCGGUGCUUGUGCUUACACGGGGCUCCUUCCUCUUCCAUCCGGAUCCGUCGAUCGAGUCGGUAGCUUCAUGUCUGUCGAGGGGAAUGACGUCCGGUCCGAACGAGCCACGGCUGCUGCUGCGCCGCCGCGGGCUUCGGACCAGGCUUCAUUCCCCGUGACUCAUGGAGACGGCAGUGAUCCGCCGAGCUUCCCGUGUUGCAGGGCAGGCGUGAGGCGUCCAUGUUCUCAUCAGCAAGGCCGGCAGGUACGCGUUUUAUUUGGAUGAGCGGAGUGUGGCAAGCAUGGACACUGACUGGUCUACUUCCUGCACGCACUCCUUGCAAGGAAGGUUCGCUUCGCACUUCAGAGCAGGGUUCUAAUCUGAACCCGUGCAAGAUACCAUGCACACGAACAUCGCAGUGGCAUCACGAGGAACCAAGACACUCAGAAACAAAUGUUCUCUCUAAUAUUCCAUGAUCCAGUGUUCAUCUGUAGUCUGCAAUGAACACUAACGCCGCUGCUGAAGCGCUACUCUGCUACGUGCUACCUAAGAUAAGAUGGGAUAAUCAUGCUAAGCCAGCCAUAUAUCCUUGCUAGCUACACUUCAUUUCGAGGAGCAGAUGCUA